GACGAACGCUGGCGGCGUGCCUAAUACAUGCAAGUCGAACGCUGAAGGAGGAGCUUGCUCUUCUGGAUGAGUUGCGAACGGGUGAGUAACGCGUAGGUAACCUGCCUGGUAGCGGGGGAUAACUAUUGGAAACGAUAGCUAAUACCGCAUAAUAGUAGAUGUUGCAUGAUAUUUACUUAAAAGGUGCAAUUGCACCACUACCAGAUGGACCUGCGUUGUAUUAGCUAGUUGGUGGGGUAACGGCUCACCAAGGCGACGAUACAUAGCCGACCUGAGAGGGGGGUCGCCCACCCUGGGACUGGGACGGGCCCCAUGCGCCUACGGGAGGCAGCAGUAGGGAACCUGCGGCAAUGGACGAGAGUCUGACCGAGCAACGCCGCGUGAGUUAAGGAGGUUUUCGGUUCGUGAAGCUCGGUUGUAAGUUAAGAACGGGUGUGGGAGUGGAAAGUUCACACUGUGACGGUAGCUGAUCAGAAAGCAACGGCUAACUACGUG
rnacentral:rRNA from 1 species